GAUGAACGCUGGCGGCGUGCCUAAUACAUGCAAGUCGAGCGAACAGACGAGGAGCUUGCUCCUCUGACGUUAGCGGCGGACGGGUGAGUAACACGUGGAUAACCUACCUAUAAGACUGGGAUAACUUCGGGAAACCGGAGCUAAUACCGGAUAAUAUAUUGAACCGCAUGGUUCAAUAGUGAAAGACGGUUUUGCUGUCACUUAUAGAUGGAUCCGCGCCGCAUUAGCUAGUUGGUAAGGUAACGGCUUACCAAGGCAACGAUGCGUAGCCGACCUGAGAGGGUGAUCGGCCACACUGGAACUUCGACACGGUCCAGACUCCUACGGGAGGCAGCAGUAGGGAAUCUUCCGCAAUGGGCGAAAGCCUGACGGAGCAACGCCGCGUGAGUGAUGAAGGUCUUCGGAUCGUAAAACUCUGUUAUUAGGGAAGAACAAAUGUGUAAGUAACUAUGCACGUCUUGACGGUACCUAAUCAGAAAGCCACGGCUAACUACGUG
rnacentral:rRNA from 1 species